GACAGAGGGUGCAAACGUUGUUCGGAAUUACUGGGCGUAAAGCGCGUGUAGGCUGCUCUGCAAGUCGGGUGUGAAAGCCCCGGGCUCAACCUGGGAAGUGCACUCGAAACUGCAGAGCUCGAGUUCUGGAGAGGAAGGCGGAAUUCUCGGUGUAGAGGUGAAAUUCGUAGAUAUCGAGAGGAACACCGGUGGCGAAGGCGGCCUUCUGGACAGUGACUGACGCUGAGACGCGAAAGCGUGGGGAGCAAACAGG
rnacentral:rRNA from 1 species